ACUGCACGUUGUUAGAGCUCAGAGUCAAGGCCGCUGGUGGCCGAGGAACUCAUGAGUGGAGGCAGUGUGUUACAUGAGGGGCAGGUUGUCACCAACACCGCAAGGGGCUCUGGCCCAACGACUGGAGUCUGAUAGUAAUCCUUGCCACAAGU